rnacentral:rRNA from 1 species
AUUAUCCCAAGUAGCACGGGGCCCGAGAAAUCCCGUGUGAAUCUGUCAGGACCACCUGAUAAGCCUAAAUACUCCCAGAUGACCGAUAGCGGACAAGUACCGUGAGGGAAAGGUGAAAAGUACCCCGGGAGGGGAGUGAAAUAGAACCUGAAACCGGAUGCGUACAAGCAGUCAGAGCCCGCAAGGGUGAUGGCGUACCUUUUGUAUAAUGGGUCAGCGACUUACAUUCAGUAGCAAGGUUAACCGCAUAGGGGAGCCGUAGAGAAAUCGAGUCUUAAUAGGGCGUUUAGUUGCUGGGUGUAGACCCGAAACCGGGUGAUCUAUCCAUGAGCAGGUUGAAGGUUGGGUAACACCAACUGGAGGACCGAACCCGCAUCUGUUGCAAUAGAUUGGGAUGACUUGUGGCUAGGGGUGAAAGGCCAAUCAAACUCGGAUAUAGCUGGUUCUCCGCGAAAUCUAUUUAGGUAGAGC